AAUAUAUUUCCCUCCAUUAAUUUUGCAAAGCUCCUAAAUAUAUUUUUAUCCCUAAAUAUAUUCUCUCAUUAAAAAAUCUAAAAGAAAAAAGACUUGUUUUCCAAAACCUUCACCGAUGUGAGCAUACUCCACAAACAACGUUAACGAAGCCCUAUUCCAUAGAUUUUCAAUCAAAGCAGCUCUUGGACAGCAAAGCUCUGCGACAAUGAAGCAUUUGGUGAGGAAAACAACAACGAACAAUUUCGAAGCUUUUGGUAAAGCUCGUUGGUCCUCUUGGAUACCGAGGUUUGACUACAAAAUCUUCCAUAUAAACGUGUACUUAUUGCAAACCCAUUAACAGUGUGCUUUUCAAUUUGUGCAAAAUCACUACUGAUUGGAUAACCAUCGUCGUCAAGGACCCGGUAACAUUGUACUCUCUCCUUCCUUUGUUUCAGGAAUAAAGUUUAAAUGUGAGGUGAAUUUGACCUCGCCUCCAGGGAAAUCGAGGACUUAGGAAUCAUUAUGAAUAUUGUGCAUGAGAUUUAACUGUGUUUGAGCUUUAUUUGAGUCAAAACGGAAAUAAGCUGGUGUGUUCUCUUAUUUAUUAUAUAGUAUUAACAUGGCAUUUAAACUAUUUUUUAUAUACAUUUCAAUGUGACUAGGAGAAAAAUAAGGAGACAGUAUCAUUUAAGGAUCUGUUGUGGUUACACGAACAAGAAAAUUCGGGCGUUUGUACAAGGCUUCGAAUGAAGAUACUACUAGUAAAACUGCUGAAAUGGAGGAAAUUGAAAAACAAAUGCAACAACUUAUUGAAUACAAGAAAUGUAAGAAAAGGAUGCUAUUAAA